UGUGGUCAUUGUCUUGACAUGAAGCCCUUUAAUGUUGAAUAGCCCUGAGGAAGACUAAAUAUAUAGUCGAAACGUAGGCUUUUUCAAGAAAA